AGAGUUUGAUCAUGGCUCAGAUUGAACGCUGGCGGCAGGCCUAACACAUGCAAGUCGAGCGGUAGCACAGAGAGCUUGCUCUCGGGUGACGAGCGGCGGACGGGUGAGUAAUGUCUGGGAAACUGCCUGAUGGAGGGGGAUAACUACUGGAAACGGUAGCUAAUACCGCAUAAUGUCGCAAGACCAAAGUGGGGGACCUUCGGGCCUCAUGCCAUCAGAUGUGCCCAGAUGGGAUUAGCUAGUAGGUGGGGUAACGGCUCACCUAGGCGACGAUCCCUAGCUGGUCUGAGAGGAUGACCAGCCACACUGGAACUGAGACACGGUCCAGACUCCUACGGGAGGCAGCAGUGGGGAAUAUUGCACAAUGGGCGCAAGCCUGAUGCAGCCAUGCCGCGUGUGUGAAGAAGGCCUUCGGGUUGUAAAGCACUUUCAGCGGGGAGGAAGGCGUUAAGGUUAAUAACCUUGGCGAUUGACGUUACCCGCAGAAGAAGCACCGGCUGACUCCGUGCCAGCAGCCGCGGUAAUACGGAGGGUGCAAGCGUUAAUCGGAAUUACUGGGCGUAAAGCGCACGCAGGCGGUCUGUCAAGUCGGAUGUGAAAUCCCCGGGCUCAACCUGGGAACUGCAUUCGAAACUGGCAGGCUAGAGUCUUGUAGAGGGGGGUAGAAUUCCAGGUGUAGCGGUGAAAUGCGUAGAGAUCUGGAGGAAUACCGGUGGCGAAGGCGGCCCCCUGGACAAAGACUGACGCUCAGGUGCGAAAGCGUGGGGAGCAAACAGGAUUAGAUACCCUGGUAGUCCACGCCGUAAACGAUGUCGAUUUGGAGGUUGUGCCCUUGAGGCGUGGCUUCCGGAGCUAACGCGUUAAAUCGACCGCCUGGGGAGUACGGCCGCAAGGUUAAAACUCAAAUGAAUUGACGGGGGCCCGCACAAGCGGUGGAGCAUGUGGUUUAAUUCGAUGCAACGCGAAGAACCUUACCUGGUCUUGACAUCCACAGAACUUAGCAGAGAUGCUUUGGUGCCUUCGGGAACUGUGAGACAGGUGCUGCAUGGCUGUCGUCAGCUCGUGUUGUGAAAUGUUGGGUUAAGUCCCGCAACGAGCGCAACCCUUAUCCUUUGUUGCCAGCGGUCCGGCCGGGAACUCAAAGGAGACUGCCAGUGAUAAACUGGAGGAAGGUGGGGAUGACGUCAAGUCAUCAUGGCCCUUACGACCAGGGCUACACACGUGCU
rnacentral:rRNA from 1 species